rnacentral:rRNA from 1 species
GUCCACGCCGUAAACGAUGGAUACUAGCUGUUGGGCGCAAGUUCAGUGGCUAAGCGAAAGUGAUAAGUAUCCCACCUGGGGAGUACGUUCGCAAGAAUGAAACUCAAAGGAAUUGACGGGGGCCCGCACAAGCGGUGGAGCAUGUGGUUUAAUUCGAUGAUACGCGAGGAACCUUACCAAGGCUUAAAUGUAGAUUGACAGGUUUGGAAACAGACUUUUCUUCGGACAAUUUACAAGGUGCUGCAUGGUU